AGGAGAGGUGACCUCGUGCAGUUUCAGGGAGGAGUCCAUCACCUGACUGGACUGGGCCUUUCAGGGGGACGAGAACGUAUUUCUUCCAACGAAACCUGAAUAACCAGCUAUCUGCCUGGGACGCCGCGAGGCAGAAGUAGGCGGGCCCAUUGACUUAGUGUCAAGGCGGAGGCCGCGCUUCAUGCCAGCGGUCACGGAGGCAGCGGAAAGCCGAGCCAGGCGCCUGCGCGCUGGGAAGAGUAGGUUCAGAGUGCAUUCCGGAACCCGGGGCGCGGCGCACUGCGCAGGCGGCCGGACUCCGCUCAGUUUCCGGUGCGGCGAACACCAAAGUCCGGGAACUUAAGCAUUUUCGGUUUCUAGGGUUGUUACGAAGCUGCAGGAGCGAGAUGGAGGUGGACGCACCGGGUGUUGAUGGUCGAGAUGGUCUCCGGGAGCGGCGAGGCUUUAGCGAGGGAGGGAGGCAGAACUUCGAUGUGAGGCCUCAGUCUGGGGCAAAUGGGCUUCCCAAACACUCCUACUGGUUGGACCUCUGGCUUUUCAUCCUUUUCGAUGUGGUGGUGUUUCUCUUUGUGUAUUUUUUGCCAUGACUUGUUCGCUGAUAUCUAAAUUAAGAAGUUGGUUCUUGAGUGAAUUCUGAAAAUGGCUACAAACUUCUUGAAUAAAGAAG
rnacentral:lncRNA from 1 species